rnacentral:sRNA from 1 species
AAAUCCGAGGGACCUGAUUCUGAAUGUG